GACAGAGGGGGCGAGCGUUUUCCGGAGUCACUGGGCGUAAAGCGCGCGCAGGCGGUGACCUAAGUGUCGUGUGAAAGCCCCCGGCUCAACUGGGGGAAGCCACGGCAGACCGGGUCGCUCGAGCUGCCGAGAGGCCCCUCGAAUCGCCGGUGUAGCGGUGAAAUGCGUAGAGAUCGGCAGGAAGACCAAGGGGGAAGCCAGGGGGCUGGCCGCAUGCUGACGCUGAGGCGCGACAGCGUGGGGAGCAAAUCGG
rnacentral:rRNA from 1 species